rnacentral:rRNA from 1 species
UACGUAGGGACCAAGCGUUGUUCGGAUUUACUGGGCGUAAAGGGCGCGUAGGCGGCAUGACAAGUCACUUGUGAAAUCUCCGGGCUUAACUCGGAACGGCCAAGUGAUACUGUCGCGCUAGAGUGCAGAAAGGGGCAAUCGGAAUUCUUGGUGUAGCGGUGAAAUGCGUAGAUAUCAAGAGGAACACCUGAGGUGAAGACGGGUUGCUGGGCUGACACUGACGCUGAGGCGCGAAAGCCAGGGGAGCAAACGGG